UGCGAAUUGGUCAUGCGUGUACUCCGGUUCACUUAGCGAAGAUGCACAUAAAGGAUAGUUCCUUGUGUGAAUGUGGCUUAGACGAAGGUACUCACACAAAUAAUUUAGCUUAACAUUUUAAACUUAAACAUUUUUGAAUUUUAUAAACCCUGUAAACUUUGUCAAAGCUGAUUACGUGACAUUGGCGAAAUCGUGGUUCUCAAAACCAAGUUGUGGCCAAAAUAAAAGAAGAAGAAGAAGA